rnacentral:rRNA from 1 species
CCUACGGGAGGCAGCAGUGGGGGAUAUUGCACAAUGGGGGAAACCCUGAUGCAGCGACGCCGCGUGUGGGAAGACGGUCCUCUGGAUUGUAAACCACUGUCCCCAGGGAGGAAGAUGACGGUACCUGGGGCGGAAGCUCCGGUCAACUACGUACCAGCAGCCGCGGUAAUACGUAGGGAGCGAGCGUUGUCCGGAAUUACUGGGUGUAAAGGGAGCGUAGGCGGGGAUGCAAGUUGGGGGUCAAAACUACGGGCUCAACCGGUAGUCGCCCUCAAAACUGCAGCUCUUGAGUGGAGUAGAGGCAGGCGGAAUGCCUGGUGUAGCGGUGAAAUGCGUAGAUAUUAGGAAGAACACCAGUGGCGAAGGCGGCCUGCUGGGCUUUUACUGACGCUGAGGCUCGAAAGUGUGGGGAGCAAACAGGAUUAGAUACCCUAGUAGUC